GCUGAAGAAGGCCGAGCCCGCUGCGUCUCGCGCUGCCGCUGCUUGAGGGAGGAGAGGGACUCAGGCGGCGUCUUGUGGUGGCGGCGAGGAGGAGAGAGGAGGGAGGGAUGGGAGUGGGGAACGAUGGAGGCAUGGCAGGACGAAGCGUGGGCUCUUUUUUUAACGGGAGAUGUGGGCUUUCCUUUUCGUGAGGAUUCGGCGAGGAUUCGGCGGAUGGCAGAGUUUUCGUCCGCCUCUAAAAAGUGCUAAACGUACUUUCGGUGAGGUUAGUUGCUAUGUUAACGGUGAGAUUCAAAUGAAUAGAUCUGAUCAUAAGGCUCUAAUUGCUUUGAGUUGUUGUGUGUACAUUAGGUGGGGUGUCUUUAGAGAAGAAAAUGUUCGCUUGUUUAUUAGUAGUAUAGAU
rnacentral:lncRNA from 1 species